rnacentral:rRNA from 1 species
UACGUAGGGGGCAAGCGUUGUCCGGAAUCAUUGGGCGUAAAGAGCGCGUAGGCGGUCCGAUAAGUCGGCUGUGAAAGUCAGGGGCUCAACCCUUGGAAGCCGGCCGAUACUGUCGGACUAGAGUCCGGAAGAGGCGAGUGGAAUUCCCGGUGUAGCGGUGAAAUGCGCAGAUAUCGGGAGGAACACCAAUGGCGAAGGCAGCUCGCUGGGACGGUACUGACGCUGAGGCGCGAAAGCGUGGGGAGCAAACAGG